GAAAGUAUAAACUUGUUUAUUCUUCCCAACCCCACUAUCAGGCUGUCAAUGGCACGUGUGAACACUGAGGUGGUUUACUCUCUAUAUCCACUCUGUCAUUUUUUAUCCCGUCACUCUCAGUGUGUCUCUUUUAUAGAAAUCACAAACUGUUGGAGACAUAUUUCCUGCACCUGAUCCGAAACUAUCAAACCGACAGCAGACAAGUAUUCUCUUUACAAACAGACAAGGCUCACAGAGCCACACAGGUCAAUUUCACCUGCCUGUGGUGAGGCAUUCACCCAGAUUUUUAAGCCGGAUUUUCACCCUGAAACGUUGGAGUCCUUACAAGCUUCAAUACUUGUGUAUUACAUGUUGGUUAAUAUAAAGAUAAAGUGUGGAUUAUAGUGUAGCUCAGAGCGGGAGUGCUUUUGUAAGUGCUGACCAUCAUACAGUCAUUUCUACCUGGGUCCUGUCGUUUAGCCAGCAGUGACAUUUUGCCAGCAUGAAGUUGGGUCAGACUACUUCAUGCCUCACAGACUCUGCAGUCUCCUGGCAGCACUUUAGACUCUUAACCCCAGCCACACAGAGUAAAAGGGCAACACAGAGUACCCUUUUGGUUAUGCUGAAAAAUGGACAGACUGUUGUGUAACAGAAUAUGGGAUUAAAAAAAAACAUCCAUCACACACAUAAAGUUUGGAUCCAGAAAGAAAAUUUGUUUUCAUCAUAUGGGACCUUUAGAGAACAGCUCAGGUUAUUUAAUCAGCAUCCAGUCGUCAGAGAUUGACACCCUGCUGCCAAUCAGAGCUGGUCAAUCAGACCGCCAGAUAGGGUGUGUGUAAGGAUGCCUAUACAGCCCAUAUUCACACGAAUGAUUAUUUUGACCGGCUUCAUCAUGCCACAAGCGUAACACAGACUGGUCUGAGACUGUUCAAGUAUACAUCGCCAUCCACAUUUCCAAACAUUCUGCUUGCAUCUUGUUGACCUGAAGGAGAGUCCAUUUAGGGUAAUAACAAAGCACAACAUAUUUUGAGUGAUGUUGAACAUGGGUACAAGGUCCUUGUUGAGGAUGGUUGUCAGAGGCCCAUGGCUCCAAAAAUCUAAGGUAUUUGAGUGACACAGCUCCACCACUCUAAAGCCUGACAUGACUGGCUAAAGAAAAUCCCCCUAACAGUGUGCCAUCUUACACGUAUAACUGAAGGUGUUGUACUAUAAUCAGGACAGUGAGUUGUGAAGAUGUAAGCACCUGUAAAACAACAAACUUAGGUCAAACUGAAUGUUUGGCUUUGAACGUAGUAUACUGUAUUUUUUAGGGCUUUUGAACUGGGUUAUCUGUUGUAAAGGUGUUCUGAGUAUUGUUUCCGGGCUGUCUCUAUCAGAGGCUGUAAGUCUGAGCAAGCGAGGUUAUCACAGUGAGAUUUAGAGAGAGGGCAGGGGGAGGGAAUCUGAUGAGGAGCAAUUCAUGUCACCGCAGUAGCAGUUAUAAGUCUCUGCAGAGUGUGUGCGAGUGCGUGUGUGAGUGUGUGUGCGUAUGUGUGCGUGUGUGUGUGAUCUCUCUACAGUAAUAAGCUUGUUGGUGCCUCCUGUUCAUUUAUCUGCCUCCAUUCAGAGUGACCUUCAGCUACACUGCCUGUGUUCUCCACAGUGAUGAACACACACUGUCUUUUCCACAUAUACACACACACUCUGAGGAACAGAUGUGCACAUCUAAAGACUUACACAAAGACAAGAACACACACAGGGGGCUUAUCAUCUCAACAGCAAUCUACUACUGAUGCUAUUUGCUGAAUAUAUGUAUAACUCAUUUUAGGGCACUCUUUUAAUCCCCAUUUUGCACAGAAUAUACAGAUGAUAGAUGUUCUGUAGAUGGGUGAAAUCUGUCAUCCCGUGGUUCCUUCCAUCCCUGUAAUUGAGAUAAUAAUAACUGCUAAAUUGGGCUUGCAACUUUGCGCUGAUAAAUGGCCUGCCAAAUGAAACAUUAUUUUGGUGAUGAGACCUGAUUUUUGAGGACUGCUUGGGGCUCAUGAGUAGGUUGUUUCGGGAAUUUAGAUUAUGAGUCACAGAGUUUCAGAACAGAUUGUUGGCACUUGUACUUAUGUUUAAAACUACAGAAGUUGCACAAGCCCCAAACGGAGGGUACCCGCCAUAUUCACAAGACAGCCAUUUUUGUCCUAUGCCAAGCCAUCAGUGGAAAGCAAUUACUGUUAUGUUUCACUGCAAUAUUUAGGAGUAAGUAACUGUCAUCAUAGUUUAAUUACCUCUCGUUAAUGAGCAACUGUUCUACAAGUGCUGUAAAGUGUAACAACACAAGGACUCUAUCAUUUGGCCUAAGACAGGUGUUCCUGUCACAGUUCACCCAUUCUUGAGAGUCGGGACAAAACAUGUCCUACAUAGAAAAGUCUAAUUUAUUCAAAACAAUUAAGAAAUUCUAAAUGUUUGACAUACUCAAAAAGUUAAAUCUAAUGGAUUUGUGUAUACCAAUCCUAUUUUUUAGCACAGAUAUUUACUUUUUUGGGGGAUAUUUGUUUAAACGAAACGUCUGUGGUUAGAAGGUCCAUGUUAUUGCUUGUGUCCUCAGCAAGAGGUCACAAUAUUGACCAGCCCCAAAAAACUUUAAAAAACUCUAUAAUUGUGAAAACAUAUACAUCAAAUAAAAAUUCAGGGCUACAAAUAUAUAAACAAUGAAUGGCCUGAACAUCAAAUAGCUUUUUGCCUAAAAAUCUGCCUAUCAAAGUUGUGUCCUCAGUUUCUGUCAACUCCAUCAGAUUAUUCUGUAAACCUCAUUAAAUCAUGUAAUAUCAUGGUCAGCUAUAUCCCUGAGGACCCCUUUUCAUUUCCUGCUUCUGGUGAAUACAACACCACCACACAUGGUCUGGUAGGUUUUACAGUUUUUGAUAUUUUAGACAAACAAUGUCAAUAUUUGUAUGGUCACAGCUGGACCAUGUCAACACCGUCUCUCCAUUAUUAUACUUUUUUAAAAACCAUAGUGAGUUCAAUUAAAGUAUUUUAGUGAGAUUAUCAGGACAGCUAGCAACUGCCAAAAAAGUAGCUAGCUGCACUGUACAAUAAAUGUUUUGGAGGGAAAAUACAUGCCCUUACGUCAACUCCGUCAGACGUCAACUCCGUCAGAUUUUGUGUCUGACGGAGUUGACAUGUAAGCUGAUGGAGUUGACAAAUCCACCUAUAACCUCUUAAUGUGCUGACAAUAUGCUAUUUUUGAACAUGGUUAAGGAUAACAAUGUUAUUCCAGGGUCUUAUCUGCACAUAAAAGUACAUAUAUAGCAUAUAUUACGUUAUUUUACCAUAUACUUCUGUUUUGUAGAGUAGACCAUGGGCAGGCUGUCUGCUUAAUUAUAACUGUCAAACUUUCCCAACACACACACACACACACACACACACACACACACACACACACACACACACACACACACACACACACACCUAAUCUCAUUGAUUGAUUGAUUAAUGUACAAUCCUAAAGGUGCAGUAUGUAAUUUUCACUACCUAAAAUCUACACACUGGCUUCUUAUAGAGUGCGCAAGAAGUUCUAUGUUGCUCUUUUAAACCCCAGUGUAGGUGGGAUACCAGAUAGAAGAAAAAGGUUAUUAUUUUUACAUUGUUAACUUGGACCCUCAGACCUUGGGCUCUAUUUUUGUGUCCACCGGCGACAUGGCGGAGGGUGGCGAACCCUGCGCAGUGGCAUUUUCGUCUGGCGGAGCUCAGCGUACAGCCAGUUUGGUAUUUUCGUGGACUGAGGUGCACCGAGGUCCGCCAAGCUGGGCGUGGAUGUGUGGCAGGGUGAGGUGUCCACAGAAUCAGCUGGUGCAGUGACAUUUUCGUACUUGUUGCCGGCGUGUAAAGUGCGCUGAAAGCUCGCAGAUUCAAACCUGGUCAGCUUUCAGCGCAGGUGGAUCUAGUGGUGGAUGGGCUAGUGGUAUUUUGGGAGACCGGCGGCACCAGCAGGUUUCCACAGUGUCAGGAACAUUUCCGUGCAAUAAAUAAUCAAUAACAACUAAUAAUCUGUGUCAGCACAUACAUUUAGAUCUAUAUCGAUAUAUUCUGAUCUAUAUCUGAUCUGAUGAGCACAUUUGGCAUGCGUUUGGACACUCAACCUGACCAAAUUAACACAGCUGCUGAAUCAGCAUGAAAUUGAAUCAAAUAUCUAGUAAAUAAACACACAUGAUGAAGUUAACAAGAUAUUUAAUUUGUCUGCCCCCAUUUCUAGCUUCCUCUUCCUCUUAUUUCUCGCGCAGCUCAACCUGGACAUGUCUCCGUGUCCUCUACCCGUCCUGCUGCAGCUGCUGCUGCGGCAGCUGAACAGAUGAUUUGUUCCAGUGAUCAGAUGAGUUUUUUACUUUAAGCCUACAUACAAAUAUUAUAAUAAUCAGUUUUGUGAGCCAAAUUUAUUUUAUAUGCCAACAUCUAUGAAAGAAAGAGCCAGGCCACGGAGCGCGAUUUACACACAGAUUGGAUCUGAUUUUAAUGCCAUUAUUGGAAUUUAUGUUGUGACCUUUGCGCACAACCCACCUUUGUCACGUGAGGUUUAAAUAUAUGCAAUUUAAUGUGAUUGUCAUAUUUGUGGAAAAGGGUGUUUGUCUUACCAGUGGGUCCAACAUUACACACACCAAAUCCAUCUGUGCUUAUAUGAGACAGUGUGCAGGGCGCCCUCUGCAGCGCUUACAGUGACACUUGUUGAGGAGCUGCAUUCUGUCGCCAUCGUGUGGCAUUGCUGUCUUCAGACAUCUCUUGAUCUCUUUGACUACUUCACGAAAAUAGUAAUACGCCUCGCUAGUGGUGGAUUCAAAGGCGAGAAGAGCUGAUGUUAUUGGUCAAUACAGGUCUCGGCUGUGUUAAACCCACUCAACGCCCUCUCUCCUCCCUCCCUAUGACCUACGCCGCUGGAAGGAGCUGAGUUAGGGGAGGGGGGAUACUUAUGCCGGGUUGCACAACUCACCAAAAUACGAAAAUGUGCUUGGAAACGCCUUGUCGGCGCGGUGGUUAAUUGCAUUAACGGUAUGUUCAGUAUGAAAACAAGGAGUUAUUAGUUCUUAAUCUAUUUUCACCUAUUGACCUAUUGUCAAUCAGUUUAAAAACACAUUUGUUCAAUAACAUAUGCAAUGUCAUCAACUCCGUUAGUUUCUCGUCAACUCCGUCAGGUGUUCGUCAACACCGUCAGAUGUAUGUUUUUCUUCAAUUUUGAAGAAAAAAAAAUUUGUUUCUUCAGUUUAUAUUAUUUAAGUAAUAAAGGAGCAUUGGCUCUACAUCCUCUUGUGUCUUAUUUACUUACAGAAAUAUUUUUUAUAAUAUAAAAAUAAAAAACAAAGUUUGAAAAUGCAACUAUUUAGAAAUCUUGGUUUUCAAAAUAGUGUGAAAUCACACAUUAGGUUUAUAUAUUACAUUUCAUGGCAUAUCAGAGUAACUAAACACUAUUACAACAUACAUCAGAACUUUAGAUUCUUGUUGGACUAGAAUUAUUAAAAUUAUAUUCUUUUUUGUGUGUCUGAUGGAGUUGACACAAAUCCACUGUCUAAGGGAAACAUGUUAAUUUAUAGAAAAAAUGUUUUUAUUUAGAGCCUGUUCCUUUACGUGGUUAAAUAGCUAAGACCUUUCUCUACAGUAAUAAAUAACUCUAAUCAAUAUAGUGUGCAUUCUCAAAAAAAGUUUUUUAGGAAGUGUUUUGUCCCGACUCUCAAGAAUCCCUGAGUUAAUAAAUAUUAAAGGGGGGGUAGUAUGCAUUUUUUUUCAUAGUCUAUAUUUUCUUUCUGAUAUCUCUUUAAAAUAUUUUGGGGAUUUUCAGAUUUAAAAAAGCCUCAAAUUUCUCACUGUAGUGCAUUAAAAUAUCAUAUUUCAACCGCCGUCUAAAACGUUUCAUUUUGGCUGCUGUCUCUCAAGCCGGGCAGGGGCAGAGCUCAUUGUUUUGGCGGUGCUCCCUCUACUGUGGUCGACCAGUUGGGCAUUACCCCCAUAAACAUCAUAUAUGUAUGUACAUUAUAUGUGCGUAUAUUAUGUCUAUGGUUACCCUGCUUUGCUGUGGGUGUCACUUCACACGCUGUUGGAGGCAGACUGUUCCGCUUUGCCUGAAGCACAUCAACCAGUAAGAAGAAUCUAUAAUUCUUAGGUCAGAAUUUAGUAAAUCUCGCACUAGUUACCUUGUGAUUUAAAACUUUGCAUACAUGUAGAGUAGACACCAAACUUUGUUACUUUGCAGUUUUUGUUGUAAAUGUAGAAAAGCAUGAUAACCUUCCCUUUAAACAUUAUUUGUUGGAAACAUACAGAAAAAUGUUAGGAAUAUGAAGUAGAUUGGAUGUAAAGAGUAAAGAGAGUUGGGUUGCUUGGCUUGAGUCUAAAUCUGGGACAGAUUUGGAGUUUUUCUAUUUAGUGUUCUCACUAGCUGUAUGGAAAUAUAGACAGCACAACAGCUGCCCCAAAGUGAAGCCGAAACUUUUACUGUGUAAGUCUCAAGGCCCGCCUCCUCUAUUAUGACAGCUACUGUAGAGUAGAAGAUGGAUCAAACCAGAAAUGCAAGUCCACAUCACCAUGCCCUCUGACAUAGUUACUUCUUAUCAUAUUGAUUGAUGAUAAAGGGAUCAUUUUCCAGAUAAAUUUGGUUGUAAAUAGAAGGAAGUGACAUCAUGAUUGACAGCUCUCACACAUCUAUACUCACACUUUCCAGUCAAACGCUUUAAACUAAAGUCUUUUUGGUAUCACUGAGAGAUUUUCUGUGACUUCAACAAACCCAUGUAAUGUUUUGCCCAUCAACAAGCAUUACUGCAACACCAUAUUUCAUGACUGCUUGACAGAUGACUCGGGUUCACUGGCUCAAUAAAGAUGCUUUCAAAUCCUCCAGAAAUUAUUUACUCUAUAUCAGAGCAGAGUUACAUAAGCCAGCAGUCAAUUUAUAAAGGUUGAACUGUGAUUACAGAAGGGUUUUGAGCUCAGGGCAGAAACUAUACAGACAGCUGAAAAAAAACACCCACAGUACAAGACUCUGUAAUGGUCUUUUAGUCUUUAAUAGUUUGUUUCUUUGAAAAUAUUUCCUGCUAAUAAUAGCAGCAUGAUAACAGAUAAAAGGCAACAAAAAAUAGACAUAGCAAUCUAGGGGUCUGUUAAAUCCUCUGUUUCUGGUACAAUCCAAUCCAAAGCUGGUACACAGGCUUGUUUUCUUCAAAUGAACCAAAUCAGAUAAAGACC